ensembl:lncRNA
CACAGACACUCAGGAUCCACCUGCCCAAGCUGCAUGAACCUGUUGUUGAUGUCAGAGAGUCAAACUCUGCUGAAGAGUGGGUUGUUUCCUGUUCAGCCACUGGUCGACCUGCUCCCACUGUAACACUCAGUGUCUCACAGUACAACACUGUCAUGUGUCCAACACCAACGCUACAGUCACUGUCACCACUACAGCUGUGCUCUCAGGUUCACGUAAACACAGCACACAGGUGGGAUGUGCAGCACGAGUGCUCUCUGCUCCUCACAGAGAGGUGAUGGAGACGAUUCCUGAGGUCCAGCAGACGUCAGAUUAUCAGUGAUGGCUACACAACCUUCUUUGCCAUUUGAGUGUGUCCAGUCCAGCUGAAACCAGCUCAUUACUGAUGGCAUGAAAACGAUCUGUGAGUCUGCGUCUUAGUGUGAUGGUUUCUUGUUCCUGUUUUAUUGUGAAGGUCUGCGUCUCAUUCGUGUCCACAGAGGCUUCGCACACGGACUGUGUAG